rnacentral:rRNA from 1 species
GGGAUCCUACGGGGCGCAGCAGUGAGGAAUAUUGGUCAAUGGUCGGGAGACUGAACCAGCCAAGCCGCGUGAGGGAGGAAGGUACAGAGUAUCGUAAACCUCCUUUGUCAGGGAACAAAGACUGGGACGCGUCCCCGGAUGAGUGUACCUGAAGAAAAAGCAUCGGCUAACUCCGUGCCAGCAGCCGCGGUAAUACGGAGGAUGCGAGCGUUAUCCGGAUUUAUUGGGUUUAAAGGGUGCGCAGGCGGUCUGUUAAGUCAGCGGUCAAAGCCCGGGGCUCAACCCCGGCCCGCCGUUGAAACUGG